rnacentral:rRNA from 1 species
UACGAAGGGUGCAAGCGUUGUUCGGAUUUAUUGGGCGUAAAGGGCCUGUAGGCGGGAGAGAAAGUCAGGUGUGAAAGCCCGGGGCCUAACCCCGGAACUGCGCCUGAAACUUCUUUUCUAGAAUAUCGGAGAGGGAAGUAGAAUUUCGCAUGUAGGGGUAAAAUCCGUAGAGAUGCGAAGGAAUACCAGAGGCGAAGGCGACUUCCUGGACGAUUAUUGACGCUGAGGGGCGAAAGCGUGGGGAGCAAACAGG